rnacentral:rRNA from 1 species
AUGAAUACUUGGAAUGAGGUAAGGCUGAGGCUAAGUAAGAAGGAAACAAUUGAUAAAGACAUGCAACAAGAGAUUGCAAGGGAGAAGGAGCGAUGGAGACUUGUUUUAAUUAGAAUUGUUGCUGCUGUGAAAUUUCUUGCUAAACAUAGUCUGGCUUUUCGAGGAUCGAAUGAGAAAUUAUAUCAAGAUAACAACGGAAAUUUUUUGGGAGUAAUUGAAAUGAUGGCAGAAUUUGAUCCUGUAAUGCAAGAGCAUCUUCGGCGCAUUAAGAAUAGUGAAAUCCAUCAUCAUUAUCUUGGCCAUAAUAUUCAGAAUGAGUUAAUUUCCCUUCUUGGUCGCACUGUUAAAUAUUCUCUGUUGAGGAUAAUUAAGGAUGCAAGGUAUUUCUCUGUCAUCUUGGACUGUACACCUGACGUGAGCCAUCAAGAACAAAUGACUCUAAUUGUGAGGUGCGUAAACAUGUCAAGUACUACUACAAAAAUAGAGGAGUUUUUUCUGGAGUUCUUGAAGGUGGAUGAUACAUCCGGACUUGGACUUUAUAAUGUGUUAAUAGAUUCACUUAAAUCUGUUGGUUUGGAUGUUAAAGAUGUUCGUGGACAAGGGUAUGACAAUGGUUCGAACAUGAAGGGAAAACACCAAGGGGUACAGAGCAGACUACUUGAAACUAAUCCAAGAGCAUUAUUCAUGCCAUGCGCUUGUCAUAGCCUAAACCUUACUCUUAGUGAUAUGGCAAAAUCUUGCGGUAAAGCUGUUACCUUCUUUGGUGUUGUGCAAAGAAUUUAUAUAUUGUUUUCAAGCUCUACUAAAAGAUGGCAGCUAUUGCUUGAUCAUGUUCCAAAAAUGACAGUUAAGUCUUUGUGUAACACUCGAUGGGAGAGUCGAAUAAAGAGUGUUCAGGCUAUCAGAUAUCAAGCACCCGAGUUAAGAAAAGCAUUACUGGAAUUGAAGAGAACUUCUACCGAUGACGCCAAGACUAAGAGCGACGCAAAAUCUUUGGCUAGCGCACUUGAGAAAUUUGAAUUUUUACUUGGCAUGGUCAUUUGGCAUGACAUUUUGUUCACUGUAAACAUGGUGAGUAAGAAGUUGCAGUAUAAGUUUGUGUGCAUUGAUGUUACUCUUAAACAGAUUGAAGGUGCCAUCUCAUAUUUUAAGAAGUACAGAAAUGACGGCUUUGCAACUAGUCUGGAUAUUGCGAGAUCUAUUGCAAUUGACAUGGGUGUACAACCUUUGUUUCCUGUCAAGAGACGUAUUACUAGAAAAAGACAGUUUGAUGAAAUUAGUGGCAAUGACGAAAAUAACCAGAAUGAAGAAACGCAAGCAAGUGAGGUGGAAUCAUUUAGAGUUAAAUACUUUUUGGUGAUGAUUGAUGUUGCAAUUGCUUCCCUAACUACUAGAUUUGAGGAACUGAAGACAUUUGGGAGCAUAUUUGGUUUCUUGUUCAACUCGAAAGAGUUGAAGUCCUUGGGU